rnacentral:tRNA from 1 species
AGUCCAAUAAAAUCAGGUAGAGUACGCUCUUCAUAGGCCUCUCACGCCGGAAACCGGGGUUCAAGCCCCCGUGGGACUACCA